UACGGGGGGGGCAAGCGUUGUUCGGAAUUACUGGGCGUAAAGGGCGCGUAGGCGGCCUUCUAAGUCGGACGUGAAAUCCCUCGGCUUAACCGAGGAACUGCGUCCGAUACUGAAAGGCUUGAAUCCGGGAGAGGGAUGUGGAAUUCCAGGUGUAGCGGUGAAAUGCGUAGAUAUCUGGAGGAACACCGGUGGCGAAGGCGGCACCCUGGACCGGUAUUGACGCUGAGGCGCGAAAGCUAGGGGAGCAAACGGG
rnacentral:rRNA from 1 species